rnacentral:tRNA from 2 species
GUCCCCUUCGUCUAGCGGUCCAGGACGUCAGCCUCUCACGCUGAAAACAGGGGUUCGAUUCCCCUAGGGGACG